rnacentral:rRNA from 1 species
UACAGAGGGUGCAAGCGUUGUCCGGAAUCACUGGGCGUAAAGGGCGCGUAGGCGGCCUGAUAAGUCGGGGGUGAAAUUCUGCGGCUUAACCGCAGGACGGCCUUCGAGACUGUCGGGCUCGAGCACGGUAGAGGCUGGUGGAAUUCCCGGUGUAGCGGUGGAAUGCGUAGAGAUCGGGAAGAACAUCGGUGGCGAAGGCGGCCAGCUGGGCCGUUGCUGACGCUGAGGCGCGACAGCGUGGGGAGCAAACAGG